UACAGAGGAUGCAAGCGUUAUCCGGAAUGAUUGGGCGUAAAGCGUCUGUAGGUGGCUUUUUAAGUCCGCCGUCAAAUCCCAGGGCUCAACUCUGGACAGGCGGUGGAAACUACCAAGCUGGAGUACGGUAGGGGCAGAGGGAAUUUCCGGUGGAGCGGUGAAAUGCGUAGAGAUCGGAAGGAACACCAGUGGCGAAGGCGACUACCUGGCCUGUUCUUGACGCUGAGGCGCGAAAGCUGGGGGAGCAAACGGG
rnacentral:rRNA from 1 species